rnacentral:rRNA from 1 species
CCUACGGGAGGCAGCAGUGGGGAAUUGUUCGCAAUGGGCGAAAGCCUGACGACGCAACGCCGCGUGGAGGAUGAAGAUCUUCGGGUCGUAAACUCCUUUCGAUCGGGACGAAUGGCUCCCGGAUGAACAGUCCGGGAGAGUGACGGUACCGAGAGAAGAAGCCCCGGCUAACUCCGUGCCAGCAGCCGCGGUAAUACGGGGGGGGCAAGCGUUGUUCGGAAUUACUGGGCGUAAAGGGCUCGUAGGCGGCCAACUAAGUCGGACGUGAAAUCCCUCGGCUCAACCGGGGAACUGCGUCCGAUACUGGAUGGCUUGAGUCCGGGAGAGGGAUGCGGAAUUCCAGGUGUAGCGGUGAAAUGCGUAGAUAUCUGGAGGAACACCGGUGGCGAAGGCGGCAUCCUGGACCGGCACUGACGCUGAGGAGCGAAAGCCAGGGGAGC